GUGAGCUAUUGUAAAUAUUGUAAUGUUUUCUAAGAAUGCGAAAGCUUGGUUGGUUUAGUGGUUACGGGCUAUGAAAAUAUUGACUCUGUUUUUAAUGUACCGAAAUAAAUUUUCAAUUUAUACUGUAUAUUUUUUGGUUUAGAACACUAUAUGUUUUAUAUUAAAUAUUUUAUUAAGUUUAUAUUCAUAAAUUUAAAUAAUUAAUAAUACGCGCAAUUAAUUAUUUACCUAUCUGCCAUGUUAGCUUAUAGGAUGGGGAUCAGGCCUGGCUCUUAAGUCUAAACCAAAACCAUCAAUGUAUACAUGUAUAUUGUAAUUGUAGUCUAAACAGCACUUACUGCUUGCAAGUGCGACGUUGCUAAUUAUUAUUCUAUCUAGGCCCAGGUCGCAGCCUGCCUAGAAUUAAAUGUGGCUGUGUGAAAGCUCACAGAUUUCUGUUUCAGUUACGGCAAUAAUAUGAAUUAUAUAAUACAAUAAAUGGCUUAUAUUUUUAGACACUCAACUCAAUGGUGAUGAAGAAAGAAGACAGCUGGCUUCAACAAUGAACAAUGAACUGAUCAACAUCCUGUGUGAAAUUAAAAAUUUUCCUCCUCCUCUAUUGAGACAUGGCAGCUUAAACACCUUGAAUUCAGUGAGGGUAUAAUCCCUAACAUUUAAAAAGUCAAAGUGAUUAAAAUUAUUUAACUUAACACUAACUUAACUACAGAAGAACAGUUUAGCCUUUUCUAUAUAUUUUAUUUUUCUAAAUUUGUACUGCCACCUGAGAUUUAUAUUAAUUGGACACUGUUACUGAAGAUCUGGUGAGAACUCUCCAUUUUGUAUAAGGCUUAUCUUAACUUCAAGAAAUUCAACUUAAUACAGACCUAUUUUAUUUACUUUCUGAUCAAACCUAAUUAUUUGAAUUCAAAAACUACUUUAUUUUCAUUAAGAAUAAUCCCAGAAAAACAAUUUGAACAAGAGAACUAAAUUCAACUUUGAUAAAUUUUUCACAUUCUAGGCCUAUUCAUUGUUGGACUAUUUAACUUACCUACCCAAGCCUAAGGGCAAUAUCAAAAUUCCAUUUUUCAUAAUAAUUGACAUGUUUUAUUUUUCAUAAAAAUAUUUGAAGAUCUUUUUAGCCAGCCGAGUUCCCCUCCCUGAGAAGAUUUAUGUAAUUAAACUUAUAUCUUAUUGUAAACUCAUUGUUCUGUUUUACUGAGCUAGGCUAAACCAAUGAUGGCGACCCUGUAUCUGUUCAUUUAAAUAUCAAACCCAUUCAUCAUUGUAACAUCCUAACUUAUUCUUUGUUCAUUAAAUUGGUGUUGUAAAGAAA